rnacentral:rRNA from 1 species
GACGAACGCUGGCGGCGUGCCUAACACAUGCAAGUCUAACGAGAAAGGGGUAGCAAUAUCCUGAGUACAGUGGCGCACGGGUGAGUAACACGUAGGCAAUUUGCCUUCAGGACGGGGACAACCUCGAGAAAUCGGGGCUAAUACCCGAUAAUGCAGCGGCACCGCAUGGUGACAGUUGUUAAAGGCCCGCAAGGGCGCCCGGAGAUGAGCCUGCGUCCCAUUAGGUAGUUGGUGAGGUAACGGCCCACCAAGCCUACGAUGGGUAGCUGGUCUGAGAGGAUGAUCAGCCACACUGGAACUGAGACACGGUCCAGACUCCUACGGGAGGCAGCAGUGAGGAAUAUUGCGCAAUGGCCGAAAGGCUGACGCAGCGACGCCGCGUGAAGGAUGAAGUCCGUUAGGAUGUAAACUUCUUUUGUCAGGGGAAGAAUGUGGCGCCUUGGGCGCCAUUGACGGUACCCUGCGAAUAAGGGUCGGCUAACUACGUGCC